UACGGAAGGCAGCAGUGGGGAAUAUUGCACAAUGGGCGCAAGCCUGAUGCAGCCAUGCCGCGUGUAUGAAGAAGGCCUUCGGGUUGUAAAGUACUUUCAGUCGUGAGGAAGGUGUUAAGGUUAAUAACCUUAGCAAUUGACGUUAGCGACAGAAGAAGCACCGGCUAACUCCGUGCCAGCAGCCGCGGUAAUACGGAGGGUGCGAGCGUUAAUCGGAAUUACUGGGCGUAAAGGGCACGCAGGCGGUUAAUUAAGUUGGAUGUGAAAUCCCCGGGCUUAACCUGGGAAUGGCAUUCAAGACUGGUUAGCUAGAGUCUUGUAGAGGGGGUAGAAUUCCAUGUGUAGCGGUGAAAUGCGUAGAGAUGUGGAGGAAUACCGGUGGCGAAGGCGGCCCCUGGGACAAAGACUGACGCUCAUGUGCGAAAGCGUGGGGAGCGAAAC
rnacentral:rRNA from 1 species